AUGAUGACGCCAAUUCAUCACUCUUCUGGCAACCGCACAGUCGUUCUGGUGUUUGGAAGUCCUGCGUUCCCCAACGGAUCUCCUCAACCAAGACUUCUGAACACACUCCGCCAGGCCCUGCAGGUCCUGCGCGCCAAUCCUGAAGCCACUGUGAUUUUG
rnacentral:ribozyme from 1 species